rnacentral:rRNA from 1 species
AGAGUUUGAUCAUGGCUCAGAACGAACGCUGGCGGCAGGCCUCAAACAUGCAAGUNUAGGGGGUGUAGCAAUACAUCACCGGCGGACGGGUGCGUAACACGUGGGAAUAUACCUUUUGGUUCGGAACAACGCAGGGAAACUUGCGCUAAUACCGAAUGUGCCCUUACGGGGAAAGAUUUAUCGCCAAAGGAUUAGCCCGCGUCCGAUUAGCUAGUUGGUGAGGUAAUGGCUCACCAAGGCUCCGAUCGGUAGCUGUUCUGAGAGGAGGAUCAGCCACACUGGGACUGAGACACGGCCCAGACUCCUACGGGAGGCAGCAGUUGGGAAUNUUGGACAGUGGGGGAAACCCUGAUCCAGCCAUGCCGCGUGAGUGAUGAAGGCCUUCGGGUUGUAAAAUNUUUCGACGGGGNCGAUAAUGACG